UGAAUCCUUCUCUGGGUGCCUCCAAGUGCAUGAACUGGAGGCACGUUUCUGCUGGGAACAGUGGUCUUGUAUCCUCCUUCCCACAAAGCUGGUCUGCGGCUCCAGCCGCCCGCGCUGGCGUUGCCCUGGGGCGAGGUGUGCGGGGCGGCAGUGACGAGCUGCGCUCUGCCCGGGGCACGGCGAGGGGCUUCAGCAUCAUCCCAGGGCUGCGGGUACGCUGAGCCCCGCCGCACGGUCCUCGGGAGUUUUCCUCUGCAUGCCUUCCUCUGCACUCCUCAGACGAUCAGCAUUUUCACCUAUCUCUCAUGAGUGAACCCAGUGGUCACAAAGGCAGAAAUGGAGUAUUUCAAUCCCAUGUCAACAAGUGAAUGGAAAAAUGAGAGCAAUGAGAAAAUGCCGUUUGCCACAGCUACAAGUGCCUGGCAUGGAGGGACGCCGAGAGCCGCCUGCUGUUACCCCGCGCAGGGACAAGUUGUGGAGUCCUGGUCUACAGUCCCUUGGUUGUGGUACGUGGAUACCGCCAUGCUUCCAGAUGACACAUGCAGUACAAAAUUAACUGGUACCAAGGUAUUGUGAUGAAGCAGAAACAUUCGAUUUUCAUAUUCAAAAUGAAACUUAGAGAUAGAAUUUUCACUGAGGUUCUCAUGUACUUUUGGAACUAAACCCCAGUGCUUUGGCACAUGUUGAUUUUACAGCUAGUCUCAUGGGGAAGGAGAUUUUAAAAUUAUAGCCAGUUAAGUGGAUAGAUAGUUUGCCGAACACUACUUGUGUAGAUAAUAGUAGUAGGCCUCCAAGAUGGCCUGACGGAAUAGUUGUAAUUGACUUAGUCCAUUUUUACUUCCUAGCCAUUUAAACCUGCAUCUGGAAAUCCUUCUCUAAUUUCACAGCUGUGGUGCUGAAACACAUACUAGGGUGCAGUGGCGUUUAAUCAGUAUUAAAGAAGAUGGGAACUCCAGAGCAAACCAAACUUUGACAAGAUAAUUACCGAUGUAAAGCCAUAAAAAGGACAAUACUGAAAGACUCCUGCUGUUCCUAAGAGUAGAAGUUAAUGUCCCUGUUUGAUAGGGUUAAAGCUGAUUGAACAGUGUGCAGAUGUUAGACGCCCACAGCACUACAACCACUUUGACCAGGACAUUUAUUUAACACUGUUAUAAUUUAAAGAUCUCUGCUGCUGGUGACUUCCUCCUAACCUGUGUUACUAAUCUCACCUUUCUGGGUGCUCACAAAACCAGGCCUUUAUAAUUAAAAAUAGCUCUUGGGUGGAGCCCGUGCUCUUAUUCGGCCACUGUGACAAGAGGUGCCUUUUGCGAAUGCAUUCAGAAGUCCCUCUCUAGGCUGUUUUUUUAUCAUUGUUUUUGAUUUAUAAGGGGCUGGUUAACGCAUUUGGUAAGCCUAUAGAAUAGUCCUUUAUGGUUAAUUUAUAUUAUACCGGUACUAGUGCUGCCCUCGACCUAGAGCAGAGUCCACUCUCGGCUAAAGCAUGGGGUUUGUUGUUUGGCUCCUACCAGCUCUUGCUUUCUCUUACUGACCUACAGUGGACAAAAGACACUUUUUGAUGGGGUCACAGUCUAAGUCAAGAGUGGCCUAGAUCACAGUGGCACGACACAGUGUACUGACAGGUGGGAGACCAGAAUAUGUGUACAAAGUUGAGGUUUUGUGCACAAAGCAGUCCUCCCAACACCUAAUGCCAAAGAACGUGGAGGCAGAGGAUCUUCAGUUUGUAGUUGGCAUUGUUAAAUGUAAUACCAUGGGGAAACACAACUGAAAGUGAGAGGAUCAAAACCAAACUCCUGGCUCGAAAAACGUGUGGUUUUAAAGUUAUAUUAUAUUUCUUUUUGACUCAUGUAUCCUAUUUGGAUCUGGAUAAUCCUAAUGAACCUCACAAAGUAUCUGAGAGCACUCGAUUUAGCACAAAUUUGGCAAGGUAAAUUGAAUACUUAUUUCCCAGGUAGCUUAAAGAGAGGUGACAUUGAAAGAAGUGACACAAAAUUGAGAUUGCACAGCAUUUUAGGUAGAUGAUAGAUGCACACAAGAAGUGGCAGUAUUACCCUAGUGAUGUUUGCAGGGAUGUAGUCAAAGAAUGACAAGUGGUAUUUCAGUCUAUCUUGCAUGGCACCACACAGUCUUAUUACUUUGUUUUCCUGAAAAAACAGUGCCAACAUAUAUUUCUGUUUCUUGGUUCCAAAAAUAUAAAAUUAUAUAGAAAGAGGGGAAAAAAGGGUCUUGUAUUUCGUUUAGGCUGAAAGAGAAACACACAGGAAAGUGAAGUAAUAGAGAAAUUUAGAGAAAAGGAAAACUUAGGAACAGAUGUCACUGUUUAUUUUUAUUUCUCUCUCUGCUUCCCUAUGAUUAUAAUAAAUGAUCUCUUUUUGAGCUGAUUAGGGAAGAACAGGAUUACAGCAAGGUUGGACAGAAGCAUCAGAUAAAACAGAAUAUAACCCCACUUAAAUUCUCUAUUCAACAUUACUCCAAGAUGGAAUUAAAGCUCCCAUGUGGCUCUGGUGCUUUAAAUGAGUGAGGCUGUCAGAGUAGUGAACUCUCUUUAGCCACAUUUUGGAAAAAAAUUUUGAGAUGGAUUUCUAUCUGGUCCUUGAAUUGAUUUUUACGUUCUGGUAUGGAUGAACUAGACCAUCCACAUAUUUGGCUAUUUUAUGUUGAUUAAAACAUGAAUAAUAGGAAAGGCAAGUAAGGAUUCAGAGAUGUCAAAAGCAAAGGUCAUGUCAAAAACCCUGGGCCAUUCCACAUAUUUCUGUGCAACUGACAGUAUAAAAGACAAUUAUAUUGUUGAAGAGAAUGCUAGUUUGUCUGAACUAUGGGUAAAACUUUACAUUACUAAUGCUGAAGAAACAACUUAGCUACACUUUUUACUGUUCAUCCUGUUUGCCUGCUUUUUUCAUAUCUGAACUUGAAAAAUCAAAACAGACAUUUUUACAUUAGAUUUUUUAGCUCUUUGUUCCAAGUAUGUUUGUCACGUUCCAGAGUUUAGAAUAAAAUCCAAAUCCACUGCUCGUUGCAGUACACCCCUAAAGAAUUCUACACUAAAUAAAAGUAUUGCUAGUCACCUUUGUGUCAUUUUCUAAUAUAAGCCUAGAGAUCAAGUAGAUAGUGAGAAUUAAAAAUCCUAGCAAAACACCUGUGUUUUCAUGAACAUGAAUAUGACAAAACUUUUUUCAAACUUGAGUUACACUAACUUCUGUGAUAAAUACAUGGGCUUAUAAGAAGUUUCCACUUAGGAAACCCUCUCGAGUUAGAACACAAAUAAAAUGUGUUUUGCUUUUGGGGGAUUUUCUUUUUUCUUUGUAGUCAGAAAAAUCAUGCUAUUUAUCUAUCCCUUAGAGGAAAAUCAUUAUGCAGUUUCAGCAAGGUGUAACUGAGCAGAGACUCUCAGGUCACAGAAAGCCAAAAAGGUCUCAAAAAAUUGAUGUUGAUGAACUAAAACCAAAAUUACUGGAGUAUCUCCACCUAGCCUGAAUCACUUGAAAAGCCUUAAACAGGGCCAAACUAUGUGUGGAUUGUCACAAGCCACACAAAUUCAUGUUUUAGGAGAAACUGCUAAGUUUCGUUUUAAUUUAUGAACUAUUGCUUCUCACAAAAAUAUACAACAAGUGGCUUUUUACCUUCUCCUCCCAUAAAAUCAUAUGAAGCUUUUUGCCAGGCUAGUAAGCAUUAGCAAAAAUAUUAACGUUAGUUUUGUAUUGUAGGAAUCUAUCUCCUGGGAUAUAGAUACAGUAGCAUGAUUUAAAGCUUUACCAUAUCAAGGUUCUUUAAGUUCCUGCACAUGCUGCAAUUGUAAUAGAAUGUGUACAUUCUUUCUACAUUCAAAUGUUUUUUGUAUUAUAUUUUUUUCUAUUAAAAAAUGACACAUGAAACUGUACUUAGGAUUAAGAUACGACUGCUUCAUUAUAUAAUUCUCAUACUUUAAGGAAUUAUUUCCUUAAAAAAUGGUUCAAGCUGAAACUUGGCAUAUAAAGUUCUAGUUUGGGAAAGGCUGGGAUGCAGAAUGGUUUUACAAAGUUUCAUGUAAAUCAGCCUUGUAAUUUUUUAUUAUUUCUACAGAAGGGCAUAACACCCGUUUUAGUACCAUUUUUUGUUCUCUUAAUAUUUGCCGAGUCUUAAGUAGAAAUAAGCUAUUUUUCUGAGUUGUUUUCACAGUCUUUUCUUGUCAGUUUAAAUGAUUGUUUCAUCUUAAAUAGAAAGUUUACCAAGUCUCACAUCCUACUUAGUACUUGUUUUGCUUCUUUCAAAGCAUGUGUAGUGAUGAAUGUUUCAAGUUAAUUUAGUGCUAUGAAAGGUGCCAAACUGUCAGACAUGGAAACUAAAAUAGACUAUUUGUGCUGAGAAUGU